UUUCCACUGUGGUCUCCUUGCAGGACCACUCUCAGUGGUUGGCCCUCCUGUUCACUUACACAAAAACAGAAGGCAGAAGAUGAUAUUGGCCCUGCUGUUGAGCCGCAAACAUAGAAUGUUGCUUUGGCAGGUCAAAGGAAGAAGCAGGUCGAAGGAAGAAGUUUAGACUAAAGAUAUGGUCAAAGGAAGAAGCAGGUCAAAGGAAGAAGUUUAGACUAAAGUGGAGAGAAGAAUUUUACAGCUGCGUGUAUCCGGCUGGCUGCGACGGGCAGGGCGGGCUGUACCAGUGGGGAUCUCCCGUAGGGAUGCCACGCUGCGAGGGCAGGAUCCUGGGCGUUCCCUGGCGUCGCUGCCAUGGCGACCUUGCUGGAAGUUUUGUGGCGUCGCUGCCCUGGCGACCUCGGGGAAGGAAGCGACGCUGCUCGCGGACGGUCUCCACGUUGGUCGGCAACAAUGGCGAUGACGUUGGCGAUGGUGCGAUGUCGAAUUAAUUUUGUUUCCUUAUUUUACCAGGAGAUCAGCGUGGUGUGAUGACGAAUUAAUGUUGUUUCCUUAUUUACCUGGAGUACAGCGUGAUUGUAGGGGGUGGAUGGGGGGUGCUGGAGGUGGAGCACGGUCAGUCAAGGGUAUUUCCUAAGUCCACACCGUACAGGCAGCAAAUGAAUGAUGGCUGUUAGAUUUAGAUGUGCGGGUAUAAUUGUGUGGUGUUGAUUGUUCCGUGCGUUUUGUGGGACAAGUUGCCGGGUGUAUUUAGCGAAGUUCUUGUUUGCUUGUUUAUUAGUAGUAGAGA